AGAGUUUGAUCAUGGCUCAGAAUCAACGCUGGCGGCGUGCCUAACACAUGCAAGUCGAACGCGAAAGCCCGCAAGGGUAAGUAGAGUGGCGCACGGGUGAGUAACACGUGGACAACCUGCCUUCGAGUGGGGAAUAACCUUCCGAAAGGAGGGCUAAUACCGCAUAACACCUCGGGACAUAAGUUCUGGGGUUGAAAAGAGCAAUUUGCUCGAAGAGGGGUCCGCGCCUGAUUAGCUAGUUGGUGAGGUAACGGCUCACCAAGGCUUCGAUCAGUAGCCGUCCUGAGAGGGAGCACGGCCACACUGGAACUGAGACACGGUCCAGACUCCUACGGGAGGCAGCAGUGGGGAAUUUUUGGCAAUGGGCGAAAGCCUGACCAAGCAACGCCGCGUGGGUGAUGAAGUAUCUUGGUACGUAAAACCCUUUCGGCAGGGACGAACCUAAUGACGGUACCUGCGGAAGAAGCCCCGGCUAACUCCGUGCCAGCAGCCGCGGUAAUACGGGGGGGGCAAGCGUUGUUCGGAAUUACUGGGCGUAAAGGGCGCGUAGGCGGUUGGAUAAGUCAGCUGUGAAAACCACGGGCUUAACUCGUGGCCUGCAGUUGAGACUGUCUGGCUUGAGUGUGGGAGAGGAGAGUGGAAUUCCUGGUGUAGCGGUGAAAUGCGUAGAUAUCAGGAGGAACACCGGUGGCGAAGGCGGCUCUCUGGACCACAACUGNNGCUGAGGCGCGAAAGCUAGGGGAGCAAACAGGAUUAGAUACCCNNGUAGUCC
rnacentral:rRNA from 1 species